CCAGGCUGCCUGUGCCUGGGGAGGGAGACCCAGAAACUGGAGAGUGUGACCUACAAGUCAUGAGAGAAGGGAGGCUCUAGUGGGAAGCGGUUA